rnacentral:rRNA from 1 species
AAUCCAUAGGUUAAUGAGGCGAACCGGGGGAACUGAAACAUCUAAGUACCCCGAGGAAAAGAAAUCAACCGAGAUUCCCCCAGUAGCGGCGAGCGAACGGGGAGGAGCCCAGAGCCUGAAUCAGCAUGUGUGUUAGUGGAAGCGUCUGGAAAGGCGCGCGAUACAGGGUGACAGCCCCGUACACAAAAGCGCAUGUGCUGUGAGCUCGAUGAGUAGGGCGGGACACGUGGUAUCCUGUCUGAAUAUGGGGGGACCAUCCUCCAAGGCUAAAUACUCCUGACUGACCGAUAGUGAACCAGUACCGUGAGGGAAAGGCGAAAAGAACCCCGGCGAGGGGAGUGAAAAAGAACCUGAAACCGUGUACGUACAAGCAGUGGGAGCACCCUUUGGGUGUGACUGCGUACCUUUUGUAUAAUGGGUCAGCGACUUAUAUUCUGUAGCAAGGUUAACCGAAUAGGGGAGCCGGAGGGAAACCGAGUCUUAAUUGGGCGUUAAGUUGCAGGGUAUAGACCCGAAACCCGGUGAUCUAGCCAUGGGCAGGUUGAAGGUUGGGUAACACUAACUGGAGGACCGAACCGACUAAUGUUGAAAAAUUAGCGGAUGACCUGUGGCUGGGGGUGAAAGGCCAAUCAAACCGGGAGAUAGCUGGUUCUCCCCGAAAGCUAUUUAGGUAGCGCCUCGUGAAUUCAUCUCCGGGGGUAGAGCACUGUUUCGGCUAGGGGGCCAUCCCGGCUUACCAACCCGAUGCAAACUGCGAAUACCGGAGAAUGUUAUCACGGGAGACACACGGCGGGUGCUAACGUCCGUCGUGAAGAGGGAAACAACCCAGACCGCCAGCUAAGGUCCCAAAGUCAUGGUUAAGUGGGAAACGAUGUGGGAAGGCCCAGACAGCCAGGAUGUUGGCUUAGAAGCAGCCAUCAUUUAAAGAAAGCGUAAUAGCUCACUGGUCGAGUCGGCCUGCGCGGAAGAUGUAACGGGGCUAAACCAUGCACCGAAGCUGCGGCAGCGACACUGUGUGUUGUUGGGUAGGGGAGCGUUCUGUAAGCCUGUGAAGGUGUGUCGUGAGGCAUGCUGGAGGUAUCAGAAGUGCGAAUGCUGACAUAAGUAACGAUAAAGCGGGUGAAAAGCCCGCUCGCCGGAAGACCAAGGGUUCCUGUCCAACGUUAAUCGGGGCAGGGUGAGUCGACCCCUAAGGCGAGGCCGAAAGGCGUAGUCGAUGGGAAACGGGUUAAUAUUCCCGUACUUGGUGUUACUGCGAAGGGGGGACGGAGAAGGCUAUGUUGGCCGGGCGACGGUUGUCCCGGUUUAAGCGUGUAGGUGUGUGUUCCAGGUAAAUCCGGUUCACUUUAACACUGAGGCGUGACGACGAGGCACUACGGUGCUGAAGCAACAAAUGCCCUGCUUCCAGGAAAAGCCUCUAAGCAUCAGGUAACAUCAAAUCGUACCCCAAACCGACACAGGUGGUCAGGUAGAGAAUACCAAGGCGCUUGAGAGAACUCGGGUGAAGGAACUAGGCAAAAUGGUGCCGUAACUUCGGGAGAAGGCACGCUGACACGUAGGUGAAGUGAUUUACUCAUGGAGCUGAAGUCAGUCGAAGAUACCAGCUGGCUGCAACUGUUUAUUAAAAACACAGCACUGUGCAAACACGAAAGUGGACGUAUACGGUGUGACGCCUGCCCGGUGCCGGAAGGUUAAUUGAUGGGGUCAGCGCAAGCGAAGCUCCUGAUCGAAGCCCCGGUAAACGGCGGCCGUAACUAUAACGGUCCUAAGGUAGCGAAAUUCCUUGUCGGGUAAGUUCCGACCUGCACGAAUGGCGUAAUGAUGGCCAGGCUGUCUCCACCCGAGACUCAGUGAAAUUGAACUCGCUGUGAAGAUGCAGUGUACCCGCGGCAAGACGGAAAGACCCCGUGAACCUUUACUAUAGCUUGACACUGAACAUUGAGCCUUGAUGUGUAGGAUAGGUGGGAGGCUUUGAAGUGUGGACGCCAGUCUGCAUGGAGCCGACCUUGAAAUACCACCCUUUAAUGUUUGAUGUUCUAACGUGGACCCGUUACCCGGGUUGCGGACAGUGUCUGGUGGGUAGUUUGACUGGGGCGGUCUCCUCCUAAAGAGUAACGGAGGAGCACGAAGGUUGGCUAAUCCUGGUCGGACAUCAGGAGGUUAGUGCAAUGGCAUAAGCCAGCUUGACUGCGAGCGUGACGGCGCGAGCAGGUGCGAAAGCAGGUCAUAGUGAUCCGGUGGUUCUGAAUGGAAGGGCCAUCGCUCAACGGAUAAAAGGUACUCCGGGGAUAACAGGCUGAUACCGCCCAAGAGUUCAUAUCGACGGCGGUGUUUGGCACCUCGAUGUCGGCUCAUCACAUCCUGGGGCUGAAGUAGGUCCCAAGGGUAUGGCUGUUCGCCAUUUAAAGUGGUACGCGAGCUGGGUUUAGAACGUCGUGAGACAGUUCGGUCCCUAUCUGCCGUGGGCGCUGGAGAACUGAGGGGGGCUGCUCCUAGUACGAGAGGACCGGAGUGGACGCAUCACUGGUGUUCGGGUUGUCAUGCCAAUGGCACUGCCCGGUAGCUAAAUGCGGAAGAGAUAAGUGCUGAAAGCAUCUAAGCACGAAACUUGCCCCGAGAUGAGUUCUCCCUGAGACUUAAAGUCUCCUGAAGGAACGUUGAAGACGACGACGUUGAUAGGCCGGGUGUGUAAGCGCAGCGAUGCGUUGAGCUAACCGGUACUAAUGAACCGUGAGGCUUAACCUUACAACGCCGAAG